GACCAAUCACUGGCUGCGGUUGUUCCAAUUCACGGACAAGCAAAGGCCGCCCUCGGUGAACAUCGGAAAUUGCCCGUGACUCGAGUGUGAGCAGCUGCAGACCGCAAUUUCCAUCCCGACAGUCAGAGGACCGGUGCCACGGCUGCUGCUCCCGCUGCCACCACCUCCACCUCUUCUACCUCCUCAGGGGCAGUGUCUGUCUCAGCGCCGAGGCCUGCUUCCAGGACUGCAUCACAUUUCGCAGCCUUCGUGUCCACACGGUGUUCUCUGUCUGGGUUGGAGAUGCAGGUCACGUUGAAGAAGCUGAGCUCCUCAACUAAGCCUGCAAUUCCAGCAGCAGCCUGCAGCAGAGCCUCUCAACCAGCUCUCUCCUCAAAGACUCCCGUGGAACCCAGCAAUGAGGAGCUGGUCAGGGC